UGGGGAAUUUUGGACAAUGGGCGAAAGCCUGAUCCAGCAAUGCCGCGUGUGUGAAGAAGGCCUUCGGGUUGUAAAGCACUUUUGUCCGGAAAGAAAUGGCUCUGGUUAAUACCUGGGGUCGAUGACGGUACCGGAAGAAUAAGGACCGGCUAACUACGUGCCAGCAGCCGCGGUAAUACGUAGGGUCCAAGCGUUAAUCGGAAUUACUGGGCGUAAAGCGUGCGCAGGCGGUUGUGCAAGACCGAUGUGAAAUCCCCGAGCUUAACUUGGGAAUUGCAUUGGUGACUGCACGGCUAGAGUGUGUCAGAGGGGGGUAGAAUUCCACGUGUAGCAGUGAAAUGCGUAGAGAUGUGGAGGAAUACCGAUGGCGAAGGCAGCCCCCUGGGAUAACACUGACGCUCAUGCACGAAAGCGUGGGGAGCAAACAGGAUUAGAUACCCUGGUAGUCCACGCCCUAAAACGAUGUCAACUAGUUGUUGGGGGAUUCAUUUCCUUAGUAACGUAGCUAACGCGUGAAGUUGACCGCCUGGGGAGUACGGUCGCAAGAUUAAAAGCUCAAAAGGAA
rnacentral:rRNA from 1 species